rnacentral:rRNA from 1 species
UACGGGGGGGGCAAGCGUUGUUCGGAAUUACUGGGCGUAGAGGGCUCGUAGGCGGCCAACUAAGUCAGACGUGAAAUCCCUCGGCUUAACCGGGGAACUGCGUCUGAUACUGGAUGGCUUGAAUCCGGGAGAGGGAUGCGGAAUUCCAGGUGUAGCGGUGAAAUGCGUAGAUAUCUGGAGGAACACCGGUGGCGAAGGCGGCAUCCUGGACCGGCAUUGACGCUGAGGAGCGAAAGCCAGGGGAGCAAACGGG